rnacentral:rRNA from 1 species
CGGACGGGUGAGUAACGCGUAGGAACCUACCUGGUAGCGGGGGACAACCUGGUGAAAACCAGGCUAAUACCGCAUACGCCCUACGGGGGAAAGCAGGGGAUCUUCGGACCUUGCACUAUCAGAUGGGCCUGCGUCGGAUUAGCUAGUUGGUGAGGUAAUGGCUCACCAAGGCGACGAUCCGUAGCUGGUUUGAGAGAAUGAUCAGCCACACUGGGACUGAGACACGGCCCAG